CCAUGGAUCUGUCUCUUGCUUAAACAGUGUUUAGAGGAACAGAUCCCGGGGACUCUUUUUUCCAGCCUCCAACCGCCCUCUGAUUUCCUCUCUACUUGCAACCUCCGGGACCAUCUUCUCGCCAUCUCCUGCUUCUGGGGACCUGCUAACACCGUUUUUGUGGUUAGCUCCUUUUUACUGACCAGCCAUGAGCUCCCAGAUUCGCCAGAAUUAUUCCACCGACGUGGAGGCAGCCAUCGACCGCCUGGUCCAUGUGUACCUGCAGGCCUCCUACACCCACCUCUCUCUCACUGGGCUACUAUUUUGACCACGAUGAUGUGGCUCGGAAAGGCAUGAGCCACUUCUUCCACGAAAUGGCCGAGGAGAAGCACGAGGGCUACGAGUGUCUCCUGAAGAUGCAAAACCAGCGUGGCGGACGCGCCCUCUUCCAGGACAUCAAGAAGCCAACUCAAGAUGAGUGGGGUAAAACCCUGGACACCAUGGAAACCGCCAUGGCCCUGGAGAAAAGUCUGAACCAGGCCCUUUUGGAUCUUCAUGCCCUGGGUUCUGCCCGCACAGACCCCCAUCUCUGUGACUUCCUGGAGAGUCACUUCCUAGAUGAAGAAGUGAAAAUCAUCAAGAAGAUGGGUGACCACCUGACCAACCUCCACAGGCUGGGCAGGGCCAGUACCUCUUCGAAAGGCUCACUCUCAAGCAUGACUAAGAGCCUACUGAGCCCAGCGACUUCUGAAGGGCCCUUGCAAAAUAACAGGGCUUCUCCCUAAGCCUCUCCCUCCAGCCACUAGGCAGCUUUCUAACUAUCCUAACAAGCCUUGGACCAAGUGGAAAUAAAGCUAUUUGAAG